rnacentral:rRNA from 1 species
GCAGGCUGCUCAAAACACUGUUUUGAGGUUGUGGAUGAAACUGACGAAGUCAGUAACCAUACAUACGGCAAGGCAAAGCUGAUGCGGUUUGAAGAGAUUUUCGAAGAGUAUUAGUUGCCUUUAAAGGCAUCCACCAUCGUUUGAAAUUCUUCAUUUGAGAGAGUAAUCCCUUUGCCCAUUUUAGUAUGGUCUGGACUCCAAGCACGAAUAUCAAACUUUGCAGGGGCACCAUUAAAGCUCACACGGUUAAUUUCCUUGGUCCAACCUUUUUCGUUUUCAGAAAGAGUCAACAAGUGCUCUUCGAUUUCAAAUGUAAAUUCUGCCAUUUUCUUCUCCUUUUUUAGUUUCAUUAGUUUAUUCGUAAAAUCUUGUAGAUUUUAGGAAAAUUUUAUAUAAUAUUGAUAUAAAAGAAGGGAGGCCAAUAUGAGACAUAAAUUCCAGCAAGUUCUAAAUAAAAUACAUGAUUUUUUAAAUGGAUAUGACCAACCUGACCAGACUGAAACCAACUCCCUUACAGCCACUAUUGAAGAGGCUAUCCAGAAACAAACCGCUGUUCACCUUAUCUUAUCUGAGACAAGCUUUACAGGUGACAUCAUCAAAUAUGAUCAGCAAGGCCAGCAAAUUAUCGUGAAAAAUUUUUCCAAAAAUGUGAGCCGGAUUAUCCGUAUAAGCGAUAUUCAACGCCUGCGAUUUGUCCCCUCAACUGUCCAAACAGCCCAAAAAAAUAAAUUUAAGAAAGAGUGAGAUGUAGUUGCUUCAUCCCACUCUUUUUCUUAGCGAAUUUGUUCAAAAUGUAAAUGAACUGCGAUAUGAUCUCCAUAACCACUUCUUUCCAAGUCACGUUGUAAACGAUAGGAAAUAUAGUGUUCUGCAAUGGUAAUGUAACCUGCGCCCAAUAAACGAUGUUCAACCAUAGAUUGAAUCAUACUGAUAGUCGCACGUUCCACCUUGGCUUCUUGUAAAUCCAAAACUACCUUCUUAGUGACUUGAGCAAGAUUUUGACGCAAAUCAUCUGUCAAAACAUAAACAGUUUGGGCUGCCUUCAAGAUGGCUUGGUAAAUCUUAUCUGGAUUAAAUUCAGCAAUUUCGCCAUUACGUUUGAUUACUUGCAUAGGUUUCUCCUUUAUUCUUUGUUUUCUUUGAUUUCUGCCAGCAUUUUUUCUUCUUCUACUGUCAGUUGAUAAUGUUCAAGUAAAUCCGGUCUGCGCUCGUAGGUUUUCUUUAAACUCUCGUACAAUCGCCACUGACGAAUCUUUUCAUGAUGGCCACUCAUCAAUACAUCUGGCACGACCAUGCCUCGAUAAUCAUAGGGACGUGUGUACUGAGGAUAUUCUAAAAGACCUGAAGAAAAACUAUCAUCUUGGUGGCUAGACUCCUUGCCAAUCACUUCUGGAAUCAGGCGAACUGUAGCAUCAAUCAUGGUCAUAGCUGCCAAUUCUCCACCAGUGAGGACAUAGUCACCUAGGGAAAUCUCAUCUGUUACCAAGGUCUUAAUGCGCUCAUCAUAACCCUCAUAGUGCCCACAGAUAAAGAUUAGCUCUUCCUCUUGAGCCAAAUCUUCAGCAUAAGCCUGAUCAAACUGCUUUCCAGCAGGAUCAAGGAGAAUAACGCGCGGAUUUUUCUUUUCAAUAGCAUCAAAGGAAUCGAAAAUAGGUUGUGCUCUGAGCAACAUGCCCUGACCGCCUCCGUAGGGCUCAUCAUCUACAUGACGGGCCUUUUCAGCAUUUUCUCGAAAAUUAUGAUACUGGAUAUCCAAGAGCCCUUUUUCUCGAGCCUUUCCAACGAUUGAGUGCUCCAGUGGAGAAAACAUCUCUGGAAAGAGGGUUAAAAUAUCAAUCUUCAUCGUCUAACCCUUCUAAGAUUUCCACAUCGACCCGUUUACUUGGAAUAUCAACAUUGAGAACCACUGGUGGGAUAUAAGGUAAAAGCAAAUCACGUUUGCCUUUUCGUUUGACCACCCAGACAUCAUUAGCACCUGGUUGCAGGAUUUCCUUGAUGGUUCCAACCAAGCUAUCACCCUCAUAGACUUCCAAACCGAUAAUCUCGUGAUAGUAAAAUUCACCAUCGUCUAGGUCAUUCAAAUCUUCCUCAGCGACCUUGAGACUGUAUCCCUUGUACUUUUCGAUAGUAUUGAUAUGGUACAUAUCUUUGAAUUUAAUAAUGUCAAAGUUCUUCUGUUUACGGUGGCUAGCGAUGGUCACUGUUUGGACAAACUGAUCUUUUUCAUCAAACAAAGCCAGCUCAGCUCCUUUUUUAAACCGUUCUUCUGCAAAAUCCGUCACAGACAAGACUCGCAUCUCCCCCUGUAAUCCCUGCGUAUUAACGAUUUUCCCAACAUUAAAGUAGUUCAUCUUGUCUCCUGUAAUCUCCUUUUUUCCAUCUUAUUCUGACAAUUCUCGAAUAAUAGCCGCAAUUUUUUCCGAUUCUGACCAUUGUAAAUAAUGGUGAUUCCCUCCUAAAAUGAGUUUAGUAUUGGAAGUCCAAUAUUCUGAUUCUCUGUACUCUUUUUCUCUAUAAGUCUGACAAAAAAUAAAUACAGGAACAUGAGAUUCUAUCGACAAAUUCUCAAAAUCUUCCUCAGUAAUCUCUCCAGAUAUCUGAAAUUCUGGAUCUUGAUUUUCCAACUCUAAGCCUUUUUCUUGCAUUAAUUCCCAGAUUUUUUUAUUCGUUUCAGGACUAAAUGUUGCUUGAGUUAAGUUCUUAAAAUAAAGUUCAGGACCACACUCGUCAAUCAGUCUCAUCUGCUCUUCCAUUUCUGGAUAAGGAUUUUCUGAAAAAUCAGCAAACAUGACUUUUUUAGUUGUCGGUUCAAUUGCUACUAAAGUCUGACGCUUAAUUGGUUUCUCGAGUAAUUUGCAAGCUAAAAUUCCACUCCAACUAUGUGCACAAAGUAUAUAUUCAGAAAUUCCUAAUUCUUCAAGUACUUCAUAAACCGCAUCUGCAAGAUUAUCUAGUUUUUUUCCAGCUUGGUCAUGAAUCGGACUCCUACCUGUGUUCGGAAAAUCAAUUGUCAAAUAACCAAUUGUAGGAGGAGGUUUUUCAAGUAUAAGUGAAAAAUUUUCAUAACUUGGUAGCAAACCUGCUCCGUUUAGACAAACUAGCACUUUCUUUUGCUUUUGAUAAGUAACAGAGAGGCUACCAAUUUCUGUAGAUACUUCAAACCUCUUCAUAAAGAAAUCCACUGAUUCUAUAUAAUGAAUUAUUAAAAAUCCUUAUCCUUUAUUUUAUCACGUUCCAAGGAUUUUCUCAAGUUGGAGGAAGGGGACAACAUCUCUACUUUCCCUUCAAGAAUCCUUCCAAAUUAUGUUUAUGUUGGUAAUUAACGGCUGCGGUUUUGUCUUUCUCAAAGACAGUCUUGGUAAGGUCAAUAUGAUUAAUAGCUACGAUUGCGACGGUGUAGUAAAUGAUAUCAGCCAGUUCUCUGGCAAGUUCCUCGUUCGAAUCCUAUCCCUUCUUUUCGACCAGAGCGCCUAUUCAAAACCUCGGCUACUUCUCCGACUUCCUCCACUAACUUCAUAAAGAGACCUUCAUCAGUCCGAGACUGCUGUUAAUGUUCGAUUAAGUAGUCUUGGAAUUGCCUAAACGUUCAAUCUUUUAUAGUAUAUUGAAACUAGAAUAGUACACCUUUACUUCUAAAACAUUGUUAGAAAUCGAUUUGACUGUCCUGAUCGAUUUGUCCUGUUCUUGUUUCAUUUUACUAUAUNAGUGAGGUGUGAUAUGAGUCAAAUGCUUAUAUCUGUAACAUUGAGCUGUGAUGGGGAGCGAAGUUUAGUAGCGAAGUUAGUGACGUCACACUGCCAAGAAAAGCUUCUAGCGUUUAAACAUACUCUACCCGUACCGCAAACCGACACAGGUAGUCGAGGCGAGUAGCCUCAGGUGAGCGAGAGAACUCUCGUUAAGGAACUCGGCAAAAUGACCCCGUAACUUCGGGAGAAGGGGUGCUGACUUUAAGUCAGCCGCAGUGAAUAGGCCCAAGCAACUGUUUAUCAAAAACACAGCUCUCUGCUAAAUCGUAAGAUGAUGUAUAGGGGGUGACGCCUGCCCGGUGCUGGAAGGUUAAGAGGAGUGCUUAGCGUAAGCGAAGGUAUGAAUUGAAGCCCCAGUAAACGGCGGCCGUAACUAUAACGGUCCUAAGGUAGCGAAAUUCCUUGUCGGGUAAGUUCCGACCCGCACGAAAGGCGUAAUGAUUUGGGCACUGUCUCAACGAGAGACUCGGUGAAAUUUUAGUACCUGUGAAGAUGCAGGUUACCCGCGACAGGACGGAAAGACCCCAUGGAGCUUUACUGCAGUUUGAUAUUGAGUGUCUGUACCACAUGUACAGGAUAGGUAGGAGUCUAAGAGAUCGGGACGCCAGUUUCGAAGGAGACGCUGUUGGGAUACUACCCUUGUGUUAUGGCCACUCUAACCCAGAUAGGUGAUCCCUAUCGGAGACAGUGUCUGACGGGCAGUUUGACUGGGGCGGUCGCCUCCUAAAAGGUAACGGAGGCGCCCAAAGGUUCCCUCAGAAUGGUUGGAAAUCAUUCGCAGAGUGUAAAGGUAUAAGGGAGCUUGACUGCGAGAGCUACAACUCGAGCAGGGACGAAAGUCGGGCUUAGUGAUCCGGUGGUUCCGUAUGGAAGGGCCAUCGCUCAACGGAUAAAAGCUACCCUGGGGAUAACAGGCUUAUCUCCCCCAAGAGUUCACAUCGACGGGGAGGUUUGGCACCUCGAUGUCGGCUCGUCGCAUCCUGGGGCUGUAGUCGGUCCCAAGGGUUGGGCUGUUCGCCCAUUAAAGCGGCACGCGAGCUGGGUUCAGAACGUCGUGAGACAGUUCGGUCCCUAUCCGUCGCGGGCGUAGGAAAUUUGAGAGGAUCUGCUCCUAGUACGAGAGGACCAGAGUGGACUUACCGCUGGUGUACCAGUUGUCUUGCCAAAGGCAUCGCUGGGUAGCUAUGUAGGGAAGGGAUAAACGCUGAAAGCAUCUAAGUGUGAAACCCACCUCAAGAUGAGAUUUCCCAUGAUUAUAUAUCAGUAAGAGCCCUGAGAGAUGAUCAGGUAGAUAGGUUAGAAGUGGAAGUGUGGCGACACAUGUAGCGGACUAAUACUAAUAGCUCGAGGACUUAUCCAA